rnacentral:misc_RNA from 1 species
GGUGUGAUCUCAAGUGUUACACUUCGUCAGCCUGAUUCCUCUGGGGGCACACUAACAUAUGAGGGUCGUUUUGAGAUACUGUCUUUAUCUGGUUCGUUCAUGCCAACUGAAAGUGGAGGAACUAGGAGUCGAUCUGGUGGGAUGAGUGUGUCAUUGGCAAGUCCAGAUGGACGUGUUGUAGGUGGUGGAGUUGCAGGUCUGUUGGUAGCUGCAAGUCCUGUACAGGUUGUAGUAGGCAGUUUUCUGGCAGGGAACCAGCAUGAGCAGAAACCAAAGAAGCAGAAACCUGACUCAAUAUCAACUGUCGUCUCACCAACUGUUGCUGUUCCUAUUUCUACUGCUGAUCCGAAACCAAACCUUUCAUCUCCAACAUUCCGUGGAGAUAAUUGGUCUCCUUUGCCAUCAGACUCGAAAAAUAAGCCAACUGACAUUAAUGUGUCUUUGCCAGCAGGUUAACCUGAUUCACCUUAUCGGUGCAUUAAUCGGUUGGUCACUGACGACAAGGCUAUCAAAUUCCACUCGUAGAAACUCACCUUCAUGUAUUGUCUGUAGAACCUAUUGAAAAUGUCAGUACUGGCACUUUUAUUUUACCCUCUUUGUUUUUGGGUAGAUUUUUAGGUAGCCACUUAGGUAGGCUCUUGCUGCUGUUGUGUCAUGUAGAAUAUUUGAUGUAAUUCACAUUUCACGCCUAGAGUUACCUUGAGAGUUGUGGAUUGUGUCUGAAAAAUGUUCUAACAUUUCUUCUUUUUUGCAUUAUUUUCUACUUUCCUAUUUGUAGGAUCCUUUCUGGGGUUCUAAUUUGAGAGAAUUUUUGUUUUC